rnacentral:piRNA from 1 species
CGGGCUUGCCAUGUGCAGUGGAAACUCCAC